rnacentral:rRNA from 1 species
UACGUAGGGUGCGAGCGUUAAUCGGAAUUACUGGGCGUAACGCGUGCGCAGGCGGUUUUGUAAGCCAGAUGUGAAAGCCCCGGGCUUAACCUGGGAAUGGCAUUUGGGACUGCAAGGCUAGAGUGCGGCAGAGGAGACUGGAAUUCCUGGUGUAGCAGUGAAAUGCGUAGAUAUCAGGAGGAAUACCGAUGGCGAAGGCAGGUCUCUGGGCUGACACUGACGCUCAUGCACGAAAGCGUGGGGAGCAAACAGG